CGCGUAGGUGGUUCGAUAAGUCGCUGGUGAAAUUCCGGGGCUCAACUCCGGAGCUGCCGGCGAGACUGUCGGACUUGAGCACGGUAGGGGCAGAUGGAAUUCCCGGUGUAGCGGUGGAAUGCGUAGAUAUCGGGAAGAAUACCAGUGGCGAAGGCGUUCUGCUGGGCCGUUGCUGACACUGAGGCGCGACAGCGGUGGGGGAGACAAACGA
rnacentral:rRNA from 1 species